GAUGGUUGCUCCUGGGGCCUGAUCUGUAGCCUUUCCCUCUCGCCGGGAACAAGUGGAUCGCGUGCCUGAAAGGGUUAAUUGGCAACAGUUAGAUCCCAAUUUCUAUGAAAAAAUUCAUCUUUAAUCUCCAGAUGCAGUCUCUUUUUUUGAGCGUUUCGAGUCUAGAACACAGAUUCUGCCGGUCAGGAGGAACAUGCCUUGUGAGCCUGUGCUUGUGUGGGUACGUUGAAAUUGGACUGCACUAGUUCAGAGAUCUCACUCUCGUGCCUAGUAGGGAUCUGGUUGUGCGGUUAAUGGAGGAUUGGAUCUUGAUGUCAUGUAUGGGUAUGAUGAAUGAACAGCAGGGGCGGUGGCGCUUGGAAUUCAACAGUAAACGCGUUUGCUGCAUCACUGUUUGUUGGCCGCGAAAGGGUUCAAGUUUCAUACAUAAUGUUCUUAAUAAUUCAACUUUUUGUCGAUGGGCCAUUAUUAUAAUAACAUGUCAUCCAACUUCUGGAUCUGAUCUUUGGAGGGUUUGGUUGCUGAGGCGUGUGUGUGUGAUAGGUGUGUAAGGCAUGCAUCUAGAAGGUAUUUGUUCUGUUGUUUUCUUCCUUGUUACUGGACCUUUGCCAUUGCAGGUGCGCUUGCAUGGCAGGUCACCCAUCUUAAUAGAAUUAUUCUCUUUUGGUUUUUGGGGGGAGACGACUCGGGAUCAAUUUUUCAUUCGUCCCGGCUCUCCUCCCAGGUGGCGUGUGUUGCUCCCUUUUUUUUUUUUUUCCUCCCCUUUCUUUUCUCGUCUCUCUUCUCUGCUUUUACUUUUAUCUUUUCUUCCACGUUCCUUCAAUUGCCCUCGGAUUUAACUCCGCACACCCGUGACCUAUGGCAUGAUGCUCAAACACUAAAGCUAAGGUUACACUCUAUAUCGUGUAAACACGAGUGAUUGUGUAGCCUGCACAAGGUAUGCAUAAGGUAGGUGACUGAAUUCACAACGAGAAUGAUGCAAUCUGUCAAAUAUAUUCUAUUAACCGCAUCAGUUUGAUUGAUGAAUUAUACUGAAGUUCACACUAGUGGCCGUUGAUUUCAGCAAGCAAGCAAUGUUCAGCGUCAUCUCCCUAUUUUUCUCCAAUUGCCUGUUGUUUUCAUAUGUUUCCUUUAUUGAAUAAAUAACCAUGUCGUAAAAGCGUCAUCAUAACAAACAUGCAAAUCAUCACGCACGCCAUUCCCUAAUGUUUCUCGGUAUUUAGCAACUGUCUGCUAAAGAUAUUGUUUGUUAGUUUCGGCAAGUUCUUUUACACGCUUCGUUUAGUUGUAGUUUUAUUCAAGUUCUUGAGAUUGAUGUUCACAACCAUGUAAGUUUAUUUAAUAUCUCUAGUUGUGAAUUUUAUGUUCUUUAGCAUAUUGAAAAUCCCCAUAAGGCUUGCUGUGGCUUCUUGUGGUGGUGGUUGUAGGGUAUCGAAAAUGUAAGCAGUAGUUUGCUUAGAUGCUCUUUGUGGCAGUAUAUACUAUUUGCCUAAUAAUUACAACUAUGGCGAGGGAUUUGAAGGCAGAGAAGGUGGGGCAUUCUGUGUGUGUUGGCCUCAAGGCUUGGCUGUGCGUCCACUCUUGUUCUUGUGUGUGGUAAUUGGGAUGAAUCUGUGUCUAGCAGGCCCUAACGGGUCUUUGUGUAACCUGGUGUAAGCCUAACGUGAGCAUUCAUUAUUUAGUUUCGAGUAUGGAUAGCUGGCCCUCGUUAACCGGAAGAUGUUUACCUGUCUCUAAUAAUUAGAUGCAUUGACAAUGCGCCAUCUGCAUUCGCGUGGAUCUUCUUGUCAGCAGCAGAGUUCCGAAGUAUGCAGAGAUGCAUUUUUGGAGCUGCAGUUUGGCAAGAUAUGAGCUUCCAGUAUUUCUCCCAGCUUGAGGUAGAUCUACUACUGUUGAGCUAAGUUUUUUCUGUUUUUCUGAAAGUAUUCACGCAGUUUAUUUCUUCUUCAUUUAGUUUGUUGCCAGUAAUGGAUUGGUAUAGUCAGUCUAAUGAUACGAGCUUUGGAGAAUGGAUUUUUAUUGUUUAACUGUUUUUCUUCACAGCACCUCGACUGACAUGGCUUGUAAUUUGGUGUGCGUCGUUCAAUUUCUUUGUUGCACUUCAGUAUCUGGGGUAUAUUUGUCAAUUUAUUUGUGUUUUUACUAAUGAUUCUUUGGUGUUUUUGCUUUACGGUGCAUGUAUGAUCUGUCAGCCUGGUUCCUAAUGACUUCGGAGGCAAUGGCUAAUGCUAUGUUUCUUAUUUA